GCGAGACUUGCACUGGGGAGCUGGAGGAGCUGCUGGGAGGUAAGUAAACGCUUGCUACGGGCCCCCCAUUACUGCCGGGUUUGUAAUGAGAUAUCGGUAUCUCAAUUGGCCGAUACGAUAUUGCCGAAAAUACCGAAUAUCGGCCGAUUAUAUUGGUCGAUCCCCAAGUCUGACAACAGCGCGACGGUGGCAUAUAUCAACAGUCGGGGAGGUACAAGAAUCAAAGACCUGCACAUUCUUUGUGGGGAGAUUAUGAUGUGGUCCUUGAAUCUAUUUGAGCAGUCCACAUAAAAGGCGAACAAAAUGUGGUAGCAGACGACCUCAGCAGGAACAAAUGGU